AAAUUAUAUCUGCCGAAUUCCCGAUACAAAGGGAAGUGGGGGAACCGUCUUGGGUGAAUUGAUCUUGCAUUAGAGGGAUCAUAGGGAACCUUCAACCGAAUCCUUAAGCUAACCUCGCAGGCACCGGAAGGAGUUACU
rnacentral:sRNA from 2 species